CUUCCCUCAUGACGGAGGCCAUCUAGUUCGACCGGCUGAACCUGGAGAAUUCGACCCUGGCCACUACGACCAUCUUCUUCAGCUUGCUGUUGCUAAUUACACUGCCUACCAGCACACGUUGAUAUGCACGCCCCGACUUCUGAAGUCGAAUUACGAAUGGUGCGGCACUGAUUAUGCUCAUUAUAUGACAUUCGAGGCACUGGAUUGUGCUGCCGGCACUGUUAAAGAGUAUGAGGCUCGUGUGUUCAGUUCUCCAUUCAGCGACUCAUUCUGCCACUUUUGCAGGGUCAAAGGUUCAAAGAAGAUCCCUCCGGUGCCUCGUGGUGCCAUGGCCCCUUCUCGCCCCCAGAUUGUGGAUUAUAACCGCGAUGAAGAUAUUUGCAUAUAGAACCAUAGGAGGAGGAUUAUAUUUAUAUUUCCGGUUUGCUUACUGGUUCUGUGCAUGGGAAGGUAGGAAAUUGGAAGUCAUGCUAAACGUGAAGAAGCUGAGCUUUGACUGGACAACUAAUAGUUAGGAAGGUAGCUGUUGCGGGGUUAGCUUGGUCCCGAGUUGAGGAAUGAUGUAGUAGAAACGGAAGUCCAUCGACUCUAAAUGGACAUAUUACUUAUAUCCUGUUCAGUGUAAUUAAGC